rnacentral:rRNA from 1 species
UUACGAGGUCAGGACACUGUGAGGAUUGACAGAUUGAAAGCUCUUUCUUGAUUCAGUGGGUGGUGGUGCAUGGCCGUUCUUAGUUGGUGGAGUGAUUUGUCUGGUUAAUUCCGUUAACGAACGAGACCUUAGCCUGCUAAAUAGUCACGCGAACCGGUCCGCAAGGGCUCAAAGUUCGCGGCUCGACUUCUUAGAGGGACUAUUCGCACCCGCCAGCGAAUGGAAGUUUGAGGCAAUAACAGGUCUGUGAUGCCCUUAGAUGUUCUCGGCCGCACGCGCGUUACACUGACGGAGUCAACGAGCGUUUUUCCUUGCCCGACAGGGCUGGGUAACCUCCUGAAACUCCGUCGUGAUGGGGAUAGAUCAUUGCAAUUAUUGAUCUUGAACGAGGAAUUCCUAGUAAGCGCGAGUCAUCAACUCGCGCUGAUUACGUCCCUGCCCUUUGUACACACCGCCCGUCGCUCCUACCGAUUGAACGGUCCGGCGGGAACUCCGGAUGGUC